UUUAAACCAAAAUGCAAUAUCUGGAAUGUGUUUAGAAUCCCAGUCUACAAAAUGAACUUAUCGCUUGUUUUGGUUUUCCUAGUUGGGUUAUUAGCUCUGCCAACACUCCAACACUCAAUGGAAUUUAACCAAGUCAAACUUCCGAUUGACUGUUUAAAUGAUGAGAAAGUUCUGGAAAUCUACGAAUCCUUACUAACAAACAAAACCUCAAGCAAAUACUCCAAAAUCAAGUGCGCCUUAAGUUGUUACCUUGACCAAAGUUCCGGAAUUAAAGCUAAAAUGCUUGAGUUAAAGAAAGAAAAUAAAACCGACCCCUGCCUUUCGAUCAAAGAUCCCGACAGGUGCGAAGAAGGCUUUAAGAAGUUUCAAUGCUUAUAUCAACGAAAAUUAUAAAGCAACUACAAUUAUUUUGAACUGCAAAUAAAUAUUUAUAUUUUUUAUAA